AUGAACGCUGGUGGCGUGCCUAAUACAUGCAAGUCGAGCGAACGGACGAGAAGCUUGCUUCUCUGAUGUUAGCGGCGGACGGGUGAGUAACACGUGGAUAACCUACCUAUAAGACUGGGAUAACUUCGGGAAACCGGAGCUAAUACCGGAUAAUAUUUUGAACCGCAUGGUUCAAAAGUGAAAGACGGUCUUGCUGUCACUUAUAGAUGGAUCCGCGCUGCAUUAGCUAGUUGGUAAGGUAACGGCUUACCAAGGCAACGAUGCAUAGCCGACCUGAGAGGGUGAUCGGCCACACUGGAACUGAGACACGGUCCAGACUCCUACGGGAGGCAGCAGUAGGGAAUCUUCCGCAAUGGGCGAAAGCCUGACGGAGCAACGCCGCGUGAGUGAUGAAGGUCUUCGGAUCGUAAAACUCUGUUAUUAGGGAAGAACAUAUGUGUAAGUAACUGUGCACAUCUUGACGGUACCUAAUCAGAAAGCCACGGCUAACUACGUG
rnacentral:rRNA from 1 species